rnacentral:rRNA from 1 species
AACAGGAUUAGAUACCCUGGUAGUCCACGCCCUAAACGAUGUCGACUAGUUGUUGGGCCUUCAGUGGCUCGGUAACGCAGCUAACGCGUGAAGUCGACCGCCUGGGGAGUACGGUCGCAAGAUUAAAACUCAAAGGAAUUGACGGGGACCCGCACAAGCGGUGGAUGAUGUGGAUUAAUUCGGUGCAACGCGAAAAACCUUACCUACCCUUGACAUGCCAGGAACUUGGCCGAGAGGCUGGGGUGCCCGCAAGGGAGCCUGGACACAGGUGCUGCAUGGCUGUCGUCAGCUCGUGUCGUGAGAUGUUGGGUUAAGUCCCGCAACGAGCGCAACCCUUGUCCCUAGUUGCCAGUGGUCUGCAAAGGCUGCGCACUCUAGGGAGACUGCCGGUGACAAACCGGAGGAAGGUGGGGAUGACGUCAAGUCCUCAUGGCCCUUAUGGGUAGGGCUUCACACGUCAUACAAUGGUCGGUACAGAGGGCUGCCAACCCGCAAGGGGGAGCCAAUCCCACAAAGCCGAUCGUAGUCCGGAUUGCAGUCUGCAACUCGGCUGCAUGAAGUCGGAAUCGCUAGUAAUCGCGGAUCAGCAUGUCGCGGUGAAUACGUUCCCGGGUCUUGUACACACCGCCCGUCACACCAUGGGAGUGGGUUUUACCAGAAGUGGCUAGCCUAACCUUGCAAGAGGGGGGCGGUUACCACGGUAGGGCUCAUGACUGGGGUGAAGUCGUAACAAGGUAACC